ACAGAAGCAGCUCCUCUGAGAAGAGAAGGUUUGGAAUCAUUACAAAUUGUCUGCAGACUGAGAUAUCAGGAUGGAGAAAAUGUUGGAGUGCGCAUUCAUAGUCUUGUGGCUUCAGCUUGGCUGGUUAAGUGGAGAAGACCAAGUGAGGCAGAGUCCUCCGACUCUGAGACUCCAGGAGGGAGACAGUAGCAGGCUCAACUGCACUUACACUGUCAGCUCUUUUAGAGGGCUACUGUGGUACAGGCAAUAUCCCAGGAAAGGCCCUGAACUCCUCUUUAGCCUGUAUUCAGUUGGGGAUGAAAAGCAGGAAGAAAGGCUAAGAGCCAUGCUAACAAAGAAGGAAAGCGUUCUGCACAUCAUGGACCUGAGACCUGAAGACUCAGCCGCCUACCUCUGUGCUGUGGAGACACAGUGCACCCCAAGCACCUGCAACCUGAAUUAA